GACGAACGCUGGCGGCGUGCUUAACACAUGCAAGUCGAACGGAAAGGCCCUGCUUGCAGGGUACUCGAGUGGCGAACGGGUGAGUAACACGUGGGUGAUCUGCCCUGCACUUCGGGAUAAGCCUGGGAAACUGGGUCUAAUACCGGAUAGGAGCCAUUUUUAGUGUGAUGGUUGGAAAGUUUUUUCGGUGUAGGAUGAGCUCGCGGCCUAUCAGCUUGUUGGUGGGGUAAUGGCCUACCAAGGCGGCGACGGGUAGCCGGCCUGAGAGGGUGGACGGCCACAUUGGGACUGGGAUACGGCCCAGACUCCUACGGGAGGCAGGAGUGGGGAAUAUUGCACAAUGGGCGCAAGCCUGAUGCAGCGACGCCGCGUGGGGGAUGACGGCCUUCGGGUUGGAAACUCCUUUCGCUAGGGACGAAGCUUUUUGUGACGGUACCUAGAUAAGAAGCACCGGCUAACUACGUG
rnacentral:rRNA from 1 species